UUGCGAUAAUAGGAAUCUCUUUCCAAACCGCAAGAAUCCAAGUUAGUAUAUCAGUGUUUUGAUGGCGCGCUGCACGUUGAAGGAUAUGCUGAGGACCAAGUCGUGUAGUAUUCUUCUGAAGCCAAACGAGGGUGGCGAAGCGCUGGAAGCAAACAGCCUUGGACAUUUCACGACCACCCCAACAUACGUUUUGAUGGCAUAUACUGUCGCUUCACUUUAUAUCAGAACCUGUCAGGUCCAGUGAUGUCCAUCAAGAGCGACGCAGACCUGAAGUUCGAUUUUUAAGCUAGUGGUACCAGAAAAGUUACCACAGGGAUAACUGGCUAGUGGCAGCCAAGCGUCCAUAGCGACGUUGCUUUUUGAUUCUUCGAUGUCGGCUCUUCCUAUCAUUGCGAAGUAGAACUCGCCGCGAAAUCGUGGCCUAUUGAUCCUUUAGUUCUUUUGGUUUCUACGAUGGAUGCAGCCUCCACAGAUGUCCCGUUGAUUAAACCCGCGAAGAUUGAUUUU
rnacentral:ncRNA from 1 species